rnacentral:lncRNA from 1 species
UCCGACCUAUAUCUAACCUAUUGUCAACGAUAUUAGACUUCUUGGUGAACAUCAAGCAGAGGGAAAGAGAGUCCCUUGAGCCUAUAUGAGCCGCUUCAAUGCUGCCACACUUGAGGUAUGUGAUCUUGACCGAUUAGUCGCGAUGUCUGUCCCAAAGAACAUACUUCAAAAAUAUCAGUACCUCUUCUUGCUAGAGAGC